GAGUUUGAUCGUGGCUCAGGAUGAACGCUAGCUACAGGCUUAACACAUGCAAGUCGAGGGGCAGCAUGGUCUUAGCUUGCUAAGGCCGAUGGCGACCGGCGCACGGGUGAGUAGCACGUAUCCAACCUGCCGUCUACUCUUGGACAGCCUUCUGAAAGGAAGAUUAAUACAAGAUGGCAUCAUGAGUCCGCAUGUUCACAUGAUUAAAUGUAUUCCGGUAGACGAUGGGGAUGCGUUCCAUUAGAUAGUAGGCGGGGUAACGGCCCACCUAGUCUUCGAUGGAUAGGGGUUCUGAGAGGAAGGUCCCCCAAUUGGAACUGAGACACGGUCCAAACUCCUACGGGAGCAGCAGUGAGGAAUAUUGGUCAAUGGGCGUAAGCCUGAACCAGCCAAGUCGCGUGAGGGAUGAAGGUUC
rnacentral:rRNA from 1 species